rnacentral:rRNA from 1 species
CCCUGAUGUUAGCGGCGGACGGGUGAGUAACACGUGGGUAACCUGCCUGUAAGACUGGGAUAACUCCGGGAAACCGGGGCUAAUACCGGAUGGUUGUUUGAACCGCAUGGUUCAAACAUAAAAGGUGGCUUCGGCUACCACUUACAGAUGGACCCGCGGCGCAUUAGCUAGUUGGUGAGGUAACGGCUCACCAAGGCAACGAUGCGUAGCCGACCUGAGAGGGUGAUCGGCCACACUGGGACUGAGACACGGCCCAGACUCCUACGGGAGGCAGCAGUAGGGAAUCUUCCGCAAUGGACGAAAGUCUGACGGAGCAACGCCGCGUGAGUGAUGAAGGUUUUCGGAUCGUAAAGCUCUGUUGUUAGGGAAGAACAAGUACCGUUCGAAUAGGGCGGUACCUUGACGGUACCUAACCAGAAAGCCACGGCUAACUACGUGCCAGCAGCCGCGGUAAUACGUAGGUGGCAAGCGUUGUCCGGAAUUAUUGGGCGUAAAGGGCUCGCAGGCGGUUUCUUAAGUCUGAUGUGAAAGCCCCCGGCUCAACCGGGGAGGGUCAUUGGAAACUGGGGAACUUGAGUGCAGAAGAGGAGAGUGGAAUUCCACGUGUAGCGGUGAAAUGCGUAGAGAUGUGGAGGAACACCAGUGGCGAAGGCGACUCUCUGGUCUGUAACUGACGCUGAGGAGCGAAAGCGUGGGGAGCGAAC